UUAAGUUGCAGCUCAUCAUCGUGUCUGUGGGUUUAACUGCAUUCAUAAUAAUCGUUGUGUCAGUCAACAUAUGGACUAGAACUAAAGUGAACAAAUCACAGAUGGAUGACAAUGCUGUGCAUAAUGAUGAAGAUGAAGAUGAAGGUACGGUGAACUAUGAAAACGAUGGAGAACCUUCUGCUACUGUCAGACUCCACUGAUCAACAACUUUCACACCAACAUCAACUCACCAGAGUCCACCGCAGUUAAAUAACAUUUCACCAGAUUUUAUAUGAGAAGUUAAAGCCUUUGUUUGUGUUUUGGUGGGUUUAGGUGGCUGAUUCUUUUUUUAACUGCAGCACUGUUUUGUCAAACUUUUCACCCUCUUUAAGAAGUUAAGCCAAAUUUUUUAAUUUUAUUUUUUACACUGUAGCUUU